rnacentral:rRNA from 1 species
UACGAAGGGGGCUAGCGUUGCUCGGAAUUACUGGGCGUAAAGGGCGCGUAGGCGGAUAGUUUAGUCAGAGGUGAAAGCCCAGGGCUCAACCUUGGAAUUGCCUUUGAUACUGGCUGUCUUGAGUAUGGGAGAGGUGAGUGGAACUCCGAGUGUAGAGGUGAAAUUCGUAGAUAUUCGGAAGAACACCAGUGGCGAAGGCGACUCACUGGCCCAUUACUGACGCUGAGGCGCGAAAGCGUGGGGAGCAAACAGGG